rnacentral:rRNA from 1 species
AUUGAACGCUGGCGGCAGGCCUAACACAUGCAAGUCGAGCGGAUGAAGGGAGCUUGCUCCUGGAUUCAGCGGCGGACGGGUGAGUAAUGCCUAGGAAUCUGCCUGGUAGUGGGGGAUAACGUCCGGAAACGGGCGCUAAUACCGCAUACGUCCUGAGGGAGAAAGUGGGGGAUCUUCGGACCUCACGCUAUCAGAUGAGCCUAGGUCGGAUUAGCUAGUUGGUGGGGUAAAGGCCUACCAAGGCGACGAUCCGUAACUGGUCUGAGAGGAUGAUCAGUCACACUGGAACUGAGAAACGGUCCAGACUCCUACGGGAGGGAGCAGUGGGGAAUAUUGGACAAAGGGGGAAAGGCUGAUACAGGCAAGGCGAGUGUGGGAAGAAGGUCUUCGGAUUGGAAAGGAAUUUAAGUUGGGAGGAAGGGAAGUAAGGUAAAAACUUGCUGGUUUGACGUUAACAAAAGAAAAAGCACCGGCUAACUUCGUG